rnacentral:rRNA from 1 species
UGGGGAAUAUUGCACAAUGGGCGCAAGCCUGAUGCAGCGACGCCGCGUGGGGGAUGACGGCCUUCGGGUUGUAAACCCCUUUCAGCACAGACGAAGCGCAAGUGACGGUAUGUGCAGAAGAAGGACCGGCCAACUACGUGCCAGCAGCCGCGGUAAUACGUAGGGUCCGAGCGUUGUCCGGAAUUACUGGGCGUAAAGAGCUCGUAGGUGGUUUGUCACGUUGUUCGUGAAAACCCACAGCUCAACUGUGGGCGUGCGAGCGAUACGGGCAGACUAGAGUACUGCAGGGGAGACUGGAAUUCCUGGUGUAGCGGUGGAAUGCGCAGAUAUCAGGAGGAACACCGGUGGCGAAGGCGGGUCUCUGGGCAGUAACUGACGCUGAGGAGCGAAAGCGUGGGGAGCGAACAGGAUUAGAUACCCUGGUAGUCCACGCCGUAAACGGUGGGUACUAGGUGUGGGUUUCUUCCUUGGAAUCCGUGCCGUAGCUAACGCA